AGCUAACACGUGGAUAAUCAACCUAUUGCUCUGGAAUACCCCGGGGAAACUCGGAUCAAUGCCAGAUAAAGUGCGAGCUGCAGGGUGCCGUACCAAAGAUAGCUUCGGCCUUCGGCGAGAGACGAGUCCGCGGCCCAUUAGCUAGUUGGCGGGUCAAUGGCCCACCAAGCCUACA
rnacentral:rRNA from 1 species